GAUGAAGAACGUAGCGAAAUGCGAUAAGUAAUGUGAAUUGCAGAAUUCCGUGAAUCAUCGAGUCUUUGAACGCACAUUGCGCCCCCUGGUAUUCCGGGGGGCAUGCCUGUCCGAGCGUCAUUGCUGCCCUCAAGCACGGCUUGUGUGUUGGGCCUCCGCCCCCCGGCUCCCGGGGGGCGGGCCCGAAAGGCAGCGGCGGCACCGCGUCCGGUCCUCGAGCGUAUGGGGCUUCGUCACCCGCUCCGUAGGCCCGGCCGGCGCCCGCCGGCGACCCCCCUCAAUCUUUCCAGGUUGACCUCGGAUCAGGUAGGGAUACCCGCUGAACUUAAGCAUAUCAAUAAGCGGAGGA
rnacentral:misc_RNA from 1 species